AUGUGCUGCUUUGUCUUGUUAUUUAACCACUUUGAGUGAACUUUGCUUCUAUUUCUUUCAUUUCUUCAUAGCAACUAGCUUUUUCCAGGAACAUUAAAGUCUUCAAAAUAAUAAUUAACAAGAACACCCAGUGCAACCCAGGACUCCGUGUCUGUAUCUCCAGGAUGAAACUGGCCUUGCGCUCUCACUGAGCAGAAAACUAGCUUUUGGGUUGUUGGACUUUUUACUUUACCCUCCCAGUCCAGUCUCCUGUGAUAAUCCAAAAGAGAAAAGAAAAGACGUAGGAUCAGCCAGGCCUACAAAAUGAGCAUUGGUUGCUCGCCCAACCAUGGAGUUCUAGUACAAGAGUAACUUCCUGAUUUCUGGAAAAGCUUUGCCUUUUCCAGAUGUCAUAUGAAUGGAAUCAUGCAAUAUGUAGCCUUUUGGAUCUGACGUCUUUUAUUUAUCAAAAUGUAUUUAAGGCUCAUCCAUGUUGUUGCACAUAUCAAUACCUCAUUCUUUUCUUUCCA